AACUUGUUAUGUGUCCUUACAGCCAAUUACCUUCGCACUUGUAUAUGUUGGAACAACUUUGAAGGAUCUAGCUGAUGUUACCCAUGGAUGGAGUCAGUUUUCCAAAACUCGUUGGGCACUUGUUAUUCUGAGUUUUGUGGUGUCUGUGAUCUUAAUGGUGGUUGUUACCAAAGUUGCAAAGUCGGCUCUUGAAAAAGCUUUGGCUGAAGGUAUCGAUUCAGAUGGCAGUGUCGCCGAUAGCUCAUCUGUUGUGGAGGAAGUGCGGGUAGAUAUUCAUGAGUCACUACUAGUCAAAGGUUGAUUCUUGUUUAUGAACAACGAAUCUAAGGCAGUUAAAUGUUUUCUUUCUUAUUUUUUGUACAUUUUAUGUAUAGUUGAUUUCCCAGUCUUACCAUUUGUAGUACAGCGUCCACGAAAGUGUUGUAGAUGAUUAACUUAUAUUACUAAUUUAUAUGGUACGUCAUUUCAUUUUUU